GCCGGUGUAGCUCAAUUGGCAGAGCAACGGUUUUGUAAACCGUAGGUUACGGGUUCGAUUCCUGCCACCGGCUCCA
rnacentral:tRNA from 1 species